rnacentral:lncRNA from 1 species
CCAGGCUCCGCCUCUGGGCCACCCUGGGGGGCUUGGGGAGGGCCGGCAGGUCCCUGGCUGGAGCGGCUCCCUCCUGGACCCGGAGCCUGCCGCACCCUCCUGAGGUCCCAGGAACUUCCCAGGGAGACAGGGAUGGGGGCAGUGCCAAUCGGACCUCUGGGCCGCGAGAGAGGCCCAACCAGCGGCAAGAAGAAAAUGGCUGAGCGCAGCCUCUCACAAAGCAGAUGGGGAACUGGCCGCCGGCUGGGUCUAACCCAACUGCCAGAAAGACCGCCGGCCAGGAGCAGCCGGUAUCAUCUUCUGAGGUCCAUUCUACAUUACCUUUGGCCCAUCUCCCACUGUGGAACUCAGCCCUGUGAGUUUUGUUUUGUUUUGUUUCUGGAUGAAUCUUGGGAGCCAGAGCCCUGCCUGGCACAAGGUUGGUGCUCAGCCAACGAGCCGCUUCCCUCCCUACAGGUCCCUUUGUUCCAUGAGCUUCAGGGGCUGCAGCAGGUGCAGGCAUCGUAACGAUUUAGGAGAAGUACAUCAAACAUCCUCACACCCCCAGAAGCCAGUCAGAUAGAUGUCUCCGAAGUGCAAGCAAAGUGUCUCCCUCAGAUGGGAGCUGAAGAAAAAUAUCUAAUAAU